rnacentral:misc_RNA from 1 species
GUUUUGAUCCUGCAGCUCAGAUUGAGAACUGGCGGGAUGCUUUACACAUGCAAUCAGGCAGCACGGACUGGGAGUCUGGUGGCAGUGAACAGGUGAGUAAUGUAUCGGAACGUGCCUAGUAGCGGGGAUAACUACGCGAAAGCUAAUGCUACCUUACGCCCUUCGGGGAAAGCGGGGACCUUCGGGCCUCGCACUAUUAGAGCCGAUAUCGGAUUGACUGGUGGUG